rnacentral:rRNA from 1 species
UGAAACCGUGUACGUACAAGCAGUGGGAGCACGCUUAGGCGUGUGACUGCGUACCUUUUGUAUAAUGGGUCAGCGACUUAUAUUCUGUAGCAAGGUUAACCGAAUAGGGGAGCCGAAGGGAAACCGAGUCUUAACUGGGCGUUAAGUUGCAGGGUAUAGACCCGAAACCCGGUGAUCUAGCCAUGGGCAGGUUGAAGGUUGGGUAACACUAACUGGAGGACCGAACCGACUAAUGUUGAAAAAUUAGCGGAUGACUUGUGGCUGGGGGUGAAAGGCCAAUCAAACCGGGAGAUAGCUGGUUCUCCCCGAAAGCUAUUUAGGUAGCGCCUCGUGAAUUCAUCUCCGGGGGUAGAGCACUGUUUCGGCAAGGGGGUCAUCCCGACUUACCAACCCGAUGCAAACUGCGAAUACCGGAGAAUGUUAUCACGGGAGACACACGGCGGGUGCUAACGUCCGUCGUGAAGAGGGAAACAACCCAGACCGCCAGCUAAGGUCCCAAAGUCAUGGUUAAGUGGGAAACGAUGUGGGAAGGCCCAGACAGCCAGGAUGUUGGCUUAGAAGCAGCCAUCAUUUAAAGAAAGCGUAAUAGCUCACUGGUCGAGUCGGCCUGCGCGGAAGAUGUAACGGGGCUAAACCAUG